rnacentral:tRNA from 1 species
GGAGGGAUGGCCGAGUGGUUUAAGGCAGCGGUCUUGAAAACCGCCGUGGGGAGACUCACCGUGAGUUCGAAUCUCACUUCCUCCGCCA